UACGUAGGGACCGAGCGUUGUCCGGAAUCAUUGGGCGUAAAGAGCGUGUAGGCGGUUCGGUAGGUCCGUUGUGAAAACUCGAGGCUCAACCUCGAGACGCCGAUGGAAACCCUCGAACUAGAGUCCGGAAGAGGAGAAUGGAAUUCCUGGUGUAGCGGUGAAAUGCGCAGAUAUCAGGAAGAACACCCGUGGCUAAGGCGGUUCUCUAGUACGGUACUGACGCUGAGACGCGAAAGCGUGGGGAGCGGACAGG
rnacentral:rRNA from 1 species